rnacentral:rRNA from 1 species
UACGUAGGUGGCAAGCGUUUGUCCGGAUUUACUGGGCGUAAAGAGCGCGCAGGCGGUCGUAUAAGUCGAAUGUGAAAGCCCCCCGGCUCAACUGGGGGAGGGUCAUUCGAUACUGUUCGACUCGAAGGCAGGAGAGGGAAGUGGAAUUCCGGGUGUAGUGGUGAAAUGCGCAGAUAUCAGGAAGAACACCAAUGGCGAAGGCAGCUCUCUGGGACGGUACUGACGCUGAGACGCGAAAAGCGUGGGGAGCGAACAGG